UACGCGGGGUUUGCCAGCUUUGUUUCUCACCGCUCCGGCAGUAGCGCACUGGGAAUGGAACUAGUUAGAUGUGUACAUAUUAUUAAGCAACUGGUUUUUGUUGUUGUUGACAUUUGUCGCAACGUUGACGUGUAUCAGUUCGCACAUCUUUUUUUGCAAACAGUCUUCGCAACGUCUAUUCUGUUGAUUCAAGAGGGGCUUACAGUGUACGAGGUUGGAACAUGAUGUAUAUUUCACACGCCUCGGUCAAUUAUAAGUCUCUGACGCAAAUCAGUAGUUGGCGUCAAAUAUAUUAUUUAGUAGUCUUUCAAUACAGUACGUCUCCUGUCA